CUGGGACUGAGACACGGCCCAGACUCCUACGGGAGGCAGCAGUGGGGAAUUUUCCGCAAUGGGCGAAAGCCUGACGGAGCAACGCCGCGUGAGGGAUGAAGGCCUCUGGGCUGUAAACCUCUUUUCUCAAGGAAGAAGAUCUGACGGUACUUGAGGAAUAAGCCACGGCUAAUUCCGUGCCAGCAGCCGCGGUAAUACGGGAGUGGCAAGCGUUAUCCGGAAUUAUUGGGCGUAAAGCGUCCGCAGGCGGCCUUGUAAGUCUGCCGUUAAAGCGUGGAGCUCAACUCCAUUUCAGCGGUGGAAACUACAAGGCUUGAGUGUGGUAGGGGCAGAGGGAAUUCCCGGUGUAGCGGUGAAAUGCGUAGAUAUCGGGAAGAACACCAGUGGCGAAGGCGCUCUGCUGGGCCAUAACUGACGCUCAUGGACGAAAGCCAGGGGAGCGAAAGGGAUUAGAUACCCCUGUAGUCCUGGCCGUAAACGAUGAACACUAGGCGUCGGGGGAAUCGACCCCCUCGGUGUCGUAGCCAACGCGUUAAGUGUUCCGCCUGGGGAGUACGCACGCAAGUGUGAAACUCAAAGGAAUUGACGGGGGCCCGCACAAGCGGUGGAGUAUGUGGUUUAAUUCGAUGCAACGCGAAGAACCUUACCAGGGUUUGACAUCCUGCGAACCUCUGAGAAAUCGGGGGGUGCCUUCGGGAACGCAGUGACAGGUGGUGCAUGGCUGUCGUCAGCUCGUGUCGUGAGACGUUGGGUUAAGUCCCGCAACGAGCGCAACCCACGUCUUUAGUUGCCAGCAUUCAGUUGGGCACUCUAGAGAGACCGCCGGUGAUAAACCGGAGGAAGGUGUGGAUGACGUCAAGUCAUCAUGCCCCUUACAUCCUGGGCUACACACGUACUACAAUGCUACGGACAAAGGGCAGCAAACUCGCGAGAGCAAGCAAAUCCCAUAAACCGUGGCUCAGUUCAGAUCGUAGGCUGCAACUCGCCUACGUGAAGGAGGAAUCGCUAGUAAUCGGAUAUCAGCCAUGAUCCGGUGAAUGCGUUCCCGGGCCUUGUACACACCGCCCGUCAAGCCAUGGGAGCUGGGGGUACCUGAAGUCGGUGGCCGUAAGGAGCUGCCUAGGGUAAAACUGGUAACUAGGGCUAAGUCGUAACAAGGUAGCCGUACCGGAAGGUGUGGCUGGAUCACCUCCUUAAAGGGAGAC
rnacentral:rRNA from 1 species